ensembl:lncRNA
AGUAAUGAUAAAGUCCUAAAAAGUUCUGAUGCUAUCCCUGAGAAGUCCGUAUCUACAGACUAUCAGCAAACUAGAGAAGAGGAGAUGUGUUUGAGCCAAAAUUUAGAGACAAAAGACAGCUCAUCAAGUAUAUAUUUACCAGCAGGACUGAAAGGAAGCGCAACAGCACAACGGACUAGCAUCUCCUGAGCACCACCUAAUACGGCACACCUACACUGGCUGACACCGUGUCACUGAGGCCAGCAUUACACUAUGUCUCCUCCUCUUCCCCCUCCUUUCCCCAUUAACAGAGCAGCUGGAUCUGGCACUGCUCAGUGCCAAUGAACUACUAAAACCCUGCGACACAGCAGAGCUCCUAAUCUGAAUAACUGGUACUGCUGUCUGACAGAAGACUAAAAUCAGGAAACGCUUGCUAGAGAGGAACAGAACCUACAUCCUGGAGAGGAAUAAACAGCAGGAGGGAGACUGAAACAAGAGGAUUAAAGUACUGUAAAAUGCAAACAACUUCUGCAUUUUUCCGGCAAGUAUCUCUGCAAGCAUCCCAGCUGACAGGAAUAACCUGGUACUUACUGCCUUGUAUUUAAUAUGAAUCUUAAUUAUCAGGUCUCAAUCUUCUUUGACUUCUGAUACUUACCAGAAAGAAAAAAGCAUGUGGGAAAAAUGGGAGGGUCUUUAAACUAAGUGAAAUAUGCGUGUCAUGCAUCAGCACUACUGUGGCACACAAGACCCUUUUCCACAUGGAGCUGAACAUAAGGUGAGCGUCCCGCUGCAUCAGUCCAGUGUGUGCUGCACGGACAUGAUCCCACAUGUUUUGCUCACCCUCACUGAUUUGAGUGGUUUGAGGCAAGGACAAUGAAAGCACUGAACUCCUCCCAUGUGGGAAUUUUGCCUAAGAGGAGUCUUAUGGGGACAUUUUAUCAUUCCCACUGUACUGCUAAAGAAAGGAGUGAGAAGUAAUUUGUACAUGACUAUCGGUGAUCUAAGAAGAAAUUGAACAUACAUCUCCAGAAAUCCUGUUUGCAAGCCAAACCAGAUGACCAUGUUUGAACCAAAUUGAACUAAAUUAAAUAAAGGUUCUCU